rnacentral:rRNA from 1 species
CAGUAGCCGCGGGAAUACGAAGGGGGCUAGCGUUGUUCGGAAUUACUGGGCGUAAAGGGCGCGUAGGCGGCCAUUCAAGUUAGAUGUGAAAGCCCUGGGCUCAACCUAGGAAUUGCAUUUGAUACUGUUUGGCUUGAGUUCGGGAGAGGUGAGUGGAAUUCCCAGUGUAGAGGUGAAAUUCGUAGAUAUUGGGAAGAACACCAGUGGCGAAGGCGGCUCACUGGACCGACACUGACGCUGAGGCGCGAAAGCGUGGGGAGCGAACAGGAUUAGAUACCCCCGUAGUCCCUGUCUCUUAUAC